rnacentral:rRNA from 1 species
UACGGAGGGGGCUAGCGUUGUUCGGAAUUACGGGGCGUAAAGCGCACGUAGGCGGCUUUGUAAGUUAGAGGUGAAAGCCCGGGGCUCAACUCCGGAAUUGCCUUUAAGACUGCAUCGCUCGAAUUGUGGAGAGGUAAGUGGAAUUCCGAGUGUAGAGGUGAAAUUCGUAGAUAUUCGGAAGAACACCAGUGGCGAAGGCGACUUACUGGACACAUAUUGACGCUGAGGUGCGAAAGCGUGGGGAGCAAACAGG